rnacentral:tRNA from 2 species
GGCUGGCUAGCUCAGCUGGUUAGAGCGUGGUGCUAAUAACGCCAAGGUCAUGGGUUUGAGCCCCAUGCUGGCCA